GACGAACGCUGGCGGCGUGCUUAACACAUGCAAGUCGAACGGAAAGGCCCUGCUUUUGUGGGGUGCUCGAGUGGCGAACGGGUGAGUAACACGUGAGUAACCUGCCCUUGACUUUGGGAUAACUUCAGGAAACUGGGGCUAAUACCGGAUAGGAGCUCCUGCUGCAUGGUGGGGGUUGGAAAGUUUCGGCGGUUGGGGAUGGACUCGCGGCUUAUCAGCUUGUUGGUGGGGUAGUGGCUUACCAAGGCUUUGACGGGUAGCCGGCCUGAGAGGGGGACCGGCCACAUUGGGACUGAGGUACGGCCCAGACUCCUACGGGGGGCAGCAGUGGGGAAUAUUGCACAAUGGGCGGAAGCCUGAUGCAGCAACGCCGCGUGCGGGAUGACGGCCUUCGGGUUGUAAACCGCUUUCGCCUGUGACGAAGCGUGAGUGACGGUAAUGGGUAAAGAAGCACCGGCUAACUACGUG
rnacentral:rRNA from 1 species